rnacentral:rRNA from 1 species
UACAGAGGUGGCAAGCGUUAAUCGGAAUUACUGGGCGUAAAGCGCGCGUAGGUGGUUUGUUAAGUUGGAUGUGAAAUCCCCGGGCUCAACCUGGGAACUGCAUUCAAAACUGACAAGCUAGAGUAUGGUAGAGGGUGGUGGAAUUUCCUGUGUAGCGGUGAAAUGCGUAGAUAUAGGAAGGAACACCAGUGGCGAAGGCGACCACCGUGGACUGAUACUGACACUGAGGUGACGAAAGGCAGUGGGGAGCGAAACAACGG